GGAGCAUGUGGCUUAAUUUGACUCAACGCGGGAAAUCUUACCAGGUCCGGACACACUGAGGAUUGACAGGAAGUAUCGUCUUUUGAAUUCUUUAAGGAUAUGUCGUUUUUAAUGACAUCUUUUAGAUGGAUGAUUCGUGUAAAUAUGCUAGUUCUUUCAUGAUUAUGUGAUAGGUGGUGCAUGGCCGUUCUUAGUUCGUGGAGUGAUCUGUCUGCUUAAUUGCGUUUCACUAAGGCCCCAAAGUUAGCAAAUUAUCAAUCGUUACAGAGUCGACCCCUCACCUUUGAGUGCGCGUCCUAACUUGUAGUACAUGGUGUAAAUGGAUUUGUUUUGGGUACCCAGAAAGCAACGAACGUGACCGCAACGUCUUGUUGUCUCUCUUUGACAGUUAUGGGUUAUCCCAGUCAUGUGUUUAUACUUUUAUGUGUAAAUACGUACGACACAGAGACUAGAUACCAAACUAGGCGUACCGCUGUAUCAUUUCUUUAAACCAGAGGAAGGUUGCGGCAAUAACAG
rnacentral:rRNA from 1 species